rnacentral:rRNA from 1 species
GGUGAACGCUGGCGGCGUGCCUAAUACAUGCAAGUCGAGCGAACAGACGAGGAGCUUGCUCCUCUGACGUUAGCGGCGGACGGGUGAGUAACACGUGGAUAACCUACCUAUAAGACUGGGAUAACUUCGGGAAACCGGAGCUAAUACCGGAUAAUAUAUUGAACCGCAUGGUUCAAUAGUGAAAGACGGUUUUGCUGUCACUUAUAGAUGGAUCCGCGCCGCAUUAGCUAGUUGGUAAGGUAACGGCUUACCAAGGCAACGAUGCGUAGCCGACCUGAGAGGGUGAUCGGCCACACUGGAACUGAGACACGGUCCAGACACCUACGGGAGGCAGCAGUAGGGAAUCUUCCGCAAUGGGCGAAAGCCUGACGGAGCAACGCCGCGUGAGUGAUGAAGGUCUUCGGAUCGUAAAACUCUGUUAUUAGGGAAGAACAAAUGUGUAAGUAACUAUGCACGUCUUGACGGUACCUAAUCAGAAAGCCACGGCUAACUACGUG